GUCUCUGCAGUGCAAUGGGUAGUGCGUUGGAUUUCUUAUCCAAAGAUCGUGGGUUCGAAUCCCACCUGGGAUG